rnacentral:rRNA from 1 species
UACGUAGGGUGCGAGCGUUAAUCGGAAUUACUGGGCGUAAAGCGUGCGCAGGCGGUUUUGUAAGCCCGAUGUGAAAUCCCCGGGCUUAACCUGGGAAUGGCAUUUGGGACUGCAAAGCUGGAGUGCGGCAGAGGGGACUGGAAUUCCUGGUGUAGCAGUGAAAUGCGUAGAGAUCAGGAGGAAUACCGAUGGCGAAGGCAGGUCCCUGGGUUGACACUGACGCUCAUGCACGAAAGCGUGGGGAGCAAACAGG